UACGUAGGGUGCAAGCGUUAAUCGGAAUUACUGGGCGUAAAGCGUGCGCAGGCGGUUUUGUAAGUUUGUCGUGAAAUCCCCGGGCUCAACCUGGGAAUUGCGAUGAAGACUGCAAGGCUAGAAUCUGGCAGAGGGGGGGUAGAAUUCCACGUGUAGCAGUGAAAUGCGUAGAGAUGUGGAGGAACACCGAUGGCGAAGGCAGCCCCCUGGGUCAAGAUUGACGCUACAUGCACGA
rnacentral:rRNA from 1 species